GACGAACGCUGGCGGCGUGCUUAACACAUGCAAGUGGAGCGACGAACCGGGCUUCGGCCCGGGGCAAAGCCGCGAACGGGUGAGUAACACGUGGGUAACGUGCCUCGAUGAUCGGGACAACCCGGGGGAAACCCGGGCUAAUACCGAAUGUGCUCUCUUCACAUCAGUGAAGCGAGGAAAGGUAGCUUCGGCCUCCGCAU
rnacentral:rRNA from 1 species